rnacentral:lncRNA from 1 species
GACAUUUACUCAUUUCCACUUUUAUUAAGGUUAAUAUUUUAAUAAUUGAUAAGGGUGAUCAUACAUAUGCCUUUCUCCUCACAAUGAUGUCAAAGCAAUCAUUUUGAUGUUGAUGUCUAUUUUUCCAGAAAAUUUAUUUUCUGUGAAGACAUCCCAUUGUCUUGCUUCUUGGCAAUUAUGCCUUGAUUAUAUGAGUGAUGACUUUUACAGAACCGUGAGGCUUUUGAAUUAAUAGAAAAAUCUGCUUGUCUCUACACAACCAAAAAAGAAAAAAAGAAAAAAAAGAAAAAAAAUAAGGAUGGGAAUUAAAUCUCUAUUUUACCAAAAAAAAAAAAAAUUAUAAAAAAUUUAAAGAGGGAUUCUAUUGAUUCACUGUGACAUGAUGUUUUCAUUAUUCACACUCUCACAUUGGAGUAGCCUAAGAAGUACGUAUACAUGAGAAAACAUUUACAGGAUUUGGGGGCAUAGACACUAUCAAGCUUUAACUUGAAUAUCAGCUCGAUAGAGCAUGUGGACCGAAUCAGAAUUAGAACCAAAGCUGUUGGGAUGGAGACUAUGGCAUUCUGUGCUAGAGGUGUUAUUUUUCUUGUUCUGUCCUAGCCCAGACUUGAGCUUUCUUUGCUGCACAGAUAAGCCAAUCAAGGCAAGCCUAGUCUCAGGAUACAAUUGAAUGCAAGCAGGUAACCAAGUUAAUUAUUGCAGGGGCAUGAGUGUGUCUGCCGGUUUGUGCAUCUUCAUGUGAAUUUAGCUAUGGUGUACACGGCCAUCCUCAACAGCCACAACUCUGUGCUUAUGUGCCUUCUGGUAGGUUUAGAGAGGAUUCUGUUUAGAAAAGGACCUAGUUUGGCAUGAUUAAAUUCUAGUAAUUAAAAAAGUACCGAUUUUGUUCCUCAUCUGUAAUUAGAGAGCUUGCUUGUUAUUCUCUUCCCCUAGUUUGUAGUAUUUAAGAGGAGCCUGGGCAGGUUCCUGAUACAUAACUGCAUCUGCAAUUUUAGUCUUUCAUUAAAUUGGUAUUUAUCUUUAAUUAUAGGCUCCACUCCCUUUAAAAUCAGUCAUUUCUAUUUAUGCCCUUUACCGGAGUUUUGAAGUAAAGGCACCUGGUAAAGAAACAAUCUUUAGUCAAGCAAAUGCCUUAUUUCUUUAUAUUAUUAUAAAAACUGAGAUGGCAAACAAGUACAAAACAUUAUCAAGCAAAGGCAACAUAUAACCCUGCCUUGCUACACAGGCACAACCUCACAGAAACCUAUUACCAUCUCCAUAAACUGUAAAAAAUGAUAAUAUUUCGUGUUGCUCUACAGGUCUUGAUUGGUGCAGAUAUUCACUACAGUGCAUUAUGAUAGAUUUUUAAUUAUUUUUCUGAUGAGGUCUUCGCAAUUAUUCCAAAUGUUCAUCUGAGUGAAAUAAAAUGAUAUACACCAACGCGGGUGUUAACAGAUUGUACAAUUUCAUACAUUUUGAAAGAAAUGGUAAUGACAAAUGACAGUAACCUAAUUUGUGGAACAAUCUCUUUGCAUGAAAUAGUCGACUAGUUUGUAAUUACGUGAUUAAGCCAACAAGAAAAAUAGAAGCCAAUCAAAUCAGAAUCCUCAAGAUAUAGAAUAAAAAGAAUCUGUAACUUCUCAAUUUAAUUUGUAACCUGCAGUGAACUUCCAUGUGAAUUCCAAACAUAAACACUCAUUAAAAUUAUUUUUAGGAGGAAGAUGUUCAUUUGUGUGCCACUAAACUUCAAAGGAUAAGAAAAAAUAAAUUCCACGGGUAAAGAUAGAUUCUUGUUAAUAGCAGAUAGUGUUUGUAAAGCUCUCCAUGUGCAUGCAGUGUCUUCACAGACACUUUGCUUUCUUUUCUUGCUGCUGUGUUCUAAUAAGGGAAAGGACGGAGGGACACUUCAUUUUAGAUUCCAUCUAGAAGGGAUACAGUCCACCAAGACAGAGAAGAUGAGGUGGAAGUAUGAGCUGUUCACAGUUUUGCCUUAGCCUGGAAGCAGAAAGAGAAGGUUCCUGGUCAAGAAUACUAGACUUGUUUCCUUCUAAUUUACCUUGAUAUUCUUAUUGGAACUCCAGCCCCCCAGAUGUGCUAUCUACUUCAGAGUGGGACUCACCACCUCAGAUAAAAGUUUUAGGAAACACCCACAUAAACACACCCUGAUGUGUGUUUCUGUGGUAGCUUUAAAACUAGUCAAACUGACAAUAAAGAUUAGAUGUCUACCAGAAGUAAUCGAAGGAGUGAGACAGAUUGCAUGUUCGACAAAAGGUCAAUGAAGAUCAUUUGCAUCCAGCAAGCUCUUGCAGAAGCAGAUCUUAUAAAUGCUGUAGAAUUCACGUGAUUUUGAUUGCAUUAAGUAAAAAUUAAUUAAUUAAUUAGUUAAUUAAUUAAUUUAAAAAAUAAGCCAGCGGUGGUAGUCCAUGCCUUUGGUUCCAGUCCUCAGGAAGCAGAGGGAUGAAGGUCUCUCAGAGUUAGAGGCCAGCUUGUUCUACAGAGGAAGAUCCUGGAUAUGAAUUAGCCAGGCUACACUGGAGGG